rnacentral:rRNA from 1 species
GAUGAACGCUGGCGGCGUGCCUAAUACAUGCAAGUCGAGCGAACAGACGAGGAGCUUGCUCCUCUGACGUUAGCGGCGGACGGGUGAGUAACACGUGGAUAACCUACCUAUAAGACUGGGAUAACUUCGGGAAACCGGAGCUAAUACCGGAUAAUAUAUUGAACCGCAUGGUUCAAUAGUGAAAGACGGUUUUGCUGUCACUUAUAGAUGGAACCGCGCCGCAUUAGCUAGUUGGUAAGGUAACGGCUUACCAAGGCAACGAUGCGUAGCCGACCUGAGAGGGUGAUCGGCCACACUGGAACUGAGACACGGUCCAGACUCCUACGGGAGGCAGCAGUAGGGAAUCUUCCGCAAUGGGCGAAAGCCUGACGGAGCAACGCCGCGUGAGUGAUGAAGGUCUUCGGAUCGUAAAACUCUGUUAUUAGGGAAGAACAAAUGUGUAAGUAACUAUGCACGUCUUGACGGUACCUAAUCAGAAAGCCACGGCUAACUACGU